rnacentral:rRNA from 1 species
UACGAAGGGUGCAAGCGUUGUUCGGAAUGACUGGGCGUAAAGGGCGCGUAGGCGGUUUUGUACGUUUGAUGUGAAAGUCCUGGGCUUAACCUGGGGACGGCAUUUGAUACUGAUUGGCUUGAAUGCAGGAGAGGAUAGCGGAAUUCUCAGUGUAGAGGUGAAAUUCGUAGAUAUUGGGAAGAACACCGGUGGCGAAGGCGGCUAUCUGGACUGUGAUUGACGCUGAGGCGCGAAAGCGUGGGGAGCAAACAGG